ensembl:snRNA Gm26099 U6 spliceosomal RNA
GUGUUCCUUAUUCUUCAGCACAAAUUCAAAAAUUAGAACAGUGCAGUGAAGCUUGGCAUGACUCUUGAGCAAGGAGGACAUGAAAAUGUCUGAAUUGAUUCAUAUAUUA